rnacentral:SRP_RNA from 1 species
CUUCGGUCCCCUCGUGACAGUUAGCUGCAAACCCCGCCAGGCCCGGAAGGGAGCAACGGUAGCGGUGAUCUGGGCACCGGGGUGUGGCUGUUGCGG